GAUGAACGCUGGCGGCGUGCCUAAUACAUGCAAGUAGAACGCUGAAGCUUGUUGCUUGCACCGAGCGGAUGAGUUGCGAACGGGUGAGUAACGCGUAGGUAACCUGCCUCUUAGCGGGGGAUAACUAUUGGAAACGAUAGCUAAUACCGCAUAAAAGUCGAUAUCGCAUGAUAUUGAUUUGAAAGGUGCAAUUGCAUCACUAAGAGAUGGACCUGCGUUGUAUUAGCUAGUUGGUGAGGUAACGGCUCACCAAGGCAACGAUACAUAGCCGACCUGAGAGGGUGAUCGGCCACACUGGGACUGAGACACGGCCCAGACUCCUACGGGAGGCAGCAGUAGGGAAUCUUCGGCAAUGGGGGCAACCCUGACCGAGCAACGCCGCGUGAGUGAAGAAGGUUUUCGGAUCGUAAAGCUCUGUUGUAAGAGAAGAACGAGUGUGAGAGUGGAAAGUUCACACUGUGACGGUAACUUACCAGAAAGGGACGGCUAACUACGU
rnacentral:rRNA from 1 species